UGAAGCAACAGACUUAUUGUGCCGGGAGCUGUACUGUAUGUAUGUUAAGGGCCUGUGUGAAGUUCAGGAAAAAGUUACCUGAGAGAAGGAGUCGUGUGCGCAUAGAAGGUGCAAAGAUACAGAAGGCUUUCACCUGAUAAAGAGACAUCAUCCUGACUUUGAUGGCUGACUGUGAAGUGAAAGCAUUUAUGGGGAUUCGACAAGUUGUUCAUGCUCUGGUAUCAAAUGGGUUUUUCAUUCAGUAAAAGUUGUCUUUUGACUGUCCGAUGAAAGACAAUCUGAAGAAUCUGCCUUUUCCAGUUCCAGCUCCCUAGAACCCUCCUCCUAAAAUGUGACUUCUGAUCCCAGUCCCCUAGAACCUGCCUAUUCCUGUCUGUCAUAUAUAGAGCUGUCAUGAUUUCUGCUGGACUUCAGUUCUGCCUUGAAGUAUAUGGUCCUUGUUUCUCAGCCCAGUCUUGAGGUCAUUCCGUACUAAAUCCCCAGCUGUCUCUGUUUCGGUAUCCUCACCCUUCAUAAUAACGUAUCUGAAGUCCAGUCAGCUAUGUAACUGAAUUCCACUAUCAUCUCAGUCGCAGGCACAACCAUUUGGGGUAUGUGUGCAAGGGCAUAGUCAACAUGUUAACAAUCUUUACAUAUAAUACACUACCGUGGCUGUCCGUUUGUCCGCCCAGGAUUUUAACUCACAAACCGUUUGGCCUAUUGACCUGAAAUUUGACGUCUGCUAUCCGCUUUCAGGGUGAUGACUGACCUCCAAGAUUAUUCCUCUUUUUAUUUUUAUUUUAUUUUAUUGUAGAACCAACUCUGUGUGAUGCAUGCAUACAGGCACCAUUCUCAUCCCUACCACCUUCACCGUCACUUCC